rnacentral:rRNA from 1 species
GAGUUUGAUCGUGGCUCAGAACGAACGCUGGCGGCAUGCCUAACACAUGCAAGUCGAACGAGAUCUUCGGAUCUAGUGGCGCACGGGUGCGUAACGCGUGGGAAUCUGCCCUUGGGUGCGGAAUAACUUCUCGAAAGGGAUGCUAAUACCGCAUAAUGUCGUAAGACCAAAGAUUUAUCGCCCAAGGAUGAGCCCGCGUAAGAUUAGCUAGUUGGUGGGGUAAAAGCCUACCAAGGCGACGAUCUUUAGCUGGUCUGAGAGGAUGAUCAGCCACACUGGGACUGAGACACGGCCCAGACUCCUACGGGAGGCAGCAGUGGGGAAUAUUGGACAAUGGGCGAAAGCCUGAUCCAGCAAUGCCGCGUGAGUGAUGAAGGCCCUAGGGUUGUAAAGCUCUUUUACCCGGGAUGAUAAUGACAGUACCGGGAGAAUAAGCUCCGGCUAACUCCGUGCCAGCCGCCGCGGUAAC